GCGUUAUCGGAUACUGGGCGUAAAGCGCGGUUUAGCGAGAUGUGAAAGCCCCGGGCACAACCUGGGAACUGCAUUUCGAACUGGCAGACUAGAGUGUGAUAGAGGGUGGUAGAAUUUCAGGUGUAGCGGUGAAUGCGUAGAGAUCUGAAGGAAUACCGAUGGCGAAGGCAGCCACCUGGGUCAACACUGACGCUCAUGUACGAAAGCGUGGGGAGCAAACGGGAUUAGAUACCCCGGUAGUCCACGCCGUAAACGAUGUCUACUAGAAGCUGGGGUCUUCGGACAACUUUUUCAAAGCUAACGCAUUAAGUAGACCGCCUGGGGAGUACGGCCGCAAGGUUAAAACUCAAAUGAAUUGACGGGGGCCCGCACAAGCGGUGGAGCAUGUGGUUUAAUUCGAUGCAACGCGAAGAACCUUACCUACACUUGACAUACAGAGAACUUACCAGAGAUGGUUUGGUGCCUUCGGGACUCUGAUACAGGUGCUGCAUGGCUGUCGUCAGCUCGUGUUGUGAGAUGUUGGGUUAA
rnacentral:rRNA from 1 species